GCCUGAAACACUUUUAGCGGCUGAAUCCCUCCCUUGAGCUGCUUCCGUCUUGCAAGGGCCCGAGUCCUACGGCCUUAGGCUUUGUUUGGAAACCAAUUGGCUGCCUGGACGUUUUGGGAAGAAAGGAAUGACAAAAUUCUAGGCCAGCAAUUCCCAAAGUGUGGUCCCAGGAGCAUCACCAGGAAUUUGUUAAAAUGCAAAUUCUCUGGCGGUUUCCCAGACUUACUGCAUUUGAAACUCCCGGAUGGGGCCCAGCAAUCUGAUUACAGAGCCCUGCAGGUAGCUUUGAUAGUCAAGUUUGAAAAACACUGCCGUAAAGCUAUCGAUUUUUUUUUUUUUCCACCGAGGCUUCAGUUUUAUUAUUUAUUCUGAGAGAGAGAGAGAGAGAGAGAGAGAGAGAGAGAGAAUCCCAAGCAGGCUCCGCACUGGCAAUGCAGUGCUGGAACUCAGGAAUUGCAAGAUCAUGACCUGAGUUGAAACCAAGAGUUGGACACUUAACCAACUGAGCCACCCAGGCACCCCUAGAACGUUUUCAUUAAAGACAGAAGCUCUGAACCUAUCUGGGUUGUGGUUCCUGUUUGCCUGCGUUUUCCAGUGAGAGAGUGAUGUGUUAACAACAGCUGUAAUGAUUUCUCUAAUGAAGCCUCCUUGGCUCUGUUGGGUUCCCAUUAACAACGGUUGAGCGCUACUGCCCUCUUGUGGUGGAUGGACGCCAGAUUUUGCCGCUUGGCAGAUGACAAGAGCCAGAUUGCACAGGAUGACUUGGACUAGAGAUGGAAAGGGUCUGCAUGCAUGGGAAAUGGGUCAAGCAUCCAGGCCCCAGGUCUUUACUGAACCCUAAACUAGUUUCCCAGACAGUGUGUGAGUUGAGUGCUUCUCCAAUAUCUUUCAUACAACGCCUUUUAAGAGGUAUUUGCCAGAACAAAAGGAAUCUAUUCUGAAACUAAAUGGAUGUUUCCUCCUCUAGAGCCUGAAAUCUGGUGAGCAUCUCAUAAAAGGCACCCUCAAGGCUCCCUGUUUAACCCAGGUCUAACUGUGAUUGCAGGUGGGAAAACAACAAAUCUCAGAAGGAAUCACCACCCAAGAAACCAAGUCUAAGAAGGCGGUAGAGAACUGUAACUAAAUCCAAACCAAUGAGGGUAUAUAGAGGGUCCAAAUUAAUAGGACAAAACAAUAUUCUUGGUAUCUUGUUCAUUUCACUUUGACUUGUUUAAAAGAACCAGGCAUAUGAUCACAGUUGCAUAUUCAGUUCAGUGCUGUGUUCACAUUUCUUAUUUGUGGAAAGUUGGUAGUGUCUUAUUAAAGGUUCCUAUCUCAUCUUCAGCUGUGCCAUGAGGAAUGAAGGAGAGGCUUGUCCCACUCUUGCAAUGGAGGGAGAUAGAGAAUAGCAAUUGCUAGAGCCACCACGAUGGUGGCAGUAGUGCUUAGGGAAAGAUCGCCUGGGGAAGGUGAAUCUUGAAGACAGUUAAUCAGGGUUGUGAGUCCAGCAGUCCUUCCCCCAUGAUGGUGGGUCAUCUCCCUCCAUUGCCAUCUCUGGUGGAUCAUGGUGGUGUUUUUUUUGAGGAAGCUGGUGAGUUUCUUUAUAGAUGGUAAUAGCACAUCUAUCUGGCUGCUUUGGCAGAGGAGGAGCUCUAGGGCUCCUGCAGGGGAACUCCUGCAGAGACCAGCAUCUAUAGACUUAGAGACCCUUGGAUUUAGGCAUGGGGAGGAAGUAUGGCCACUUGGCAGAAAUACAGGCUCUAGAGAGCAAAGUGAUUCUGGUCACACUUGAAAUGAGAGAUCAUUCUUCUUGCUUCCAAGUCUGAUAACAUUUCCCGGUAGAUAACAUGUGUCUAACCCCCUGGGAUGGGGACAUGGGACAGGUAUGGGACACCCUACAGAAAGAGCAGGCAAAGUUGGCAGCAUAGGUCCAAAGUGGAGUGGGGAAAAUAGAUCCUUGAGAAGGUGGGCAGGUCAUGGGUCUUCAGGAAGAAGAGGACAACUACUGGAAGUGCUUUAGGCAGAGUGACAGAGGUUGUUGAUGCACUACUGCAUGCACAGCUGUCUGGGUCCUGGUCCAGGGGUCACUGGAGGCACUGGGUUCCCUUACAGGAAAGUAUGUCAGCAACAUUCACAUGCAAUGAAUGGCACAGCCUUAGGACGCCAAGCUUGCUGAACAAAGCUGUCCAAUACUCCUUCAUAGAUGACAGCCUCAAUCUAAAGGUGGGAUUCAGCUGCCUGGAAUUCCACCAGAAUAUAAAAUACCCCUUUUGAUGCAAAUCAAAACCACAAUGAGAUAUCAUAUCAUACCUGUUAGAAUGGCUGUUAUCAAAAGUUCAAGAAAUGACAAAUAUUGAUGAGGAUGUGGAGAAAAUAGAACCCUUGUACACUGUAGGGAAGGUAAAUUGGUAGAGCCAUUGUAAAAAACAAUAUGGAGGUUCCUCAAAAUACUAAAAAUAGAACUACCAUAUGAUCCAGCAAUUCCACUUUUGGGUAUAUAUCUGAAGGAAAAGAAAUCACUGUCUCAAAGGGAUAUCCGCACCCCCAUGUUUAUUGCAGUAUUAUUUACAAUAGCCAAGACAUGAAAACAUCCAAGACUUGGAUGGAUGAAGAAAAUGUGGUGUACAUACAUACAACGAAUAUUAUUCAGCCAUAAAAAUAAGGAAAUCCUAUCAUUUGCAACAUGGAUGGCCCUGAAGUCAUUAUGCUGAGUGAAAAAAAGUCAGACAAAGUCAAGUACUGUACGAUCUCACUUGCAUGUGGAAUCUAAAAAAACUGAACUCAGAAGCAGAGCAUGAAUUGGUGGUUACCAGAGACAGGGGCUAUGUGCAAAGGUGGUCAAAAGGUACAAACUGCCAGUUAUAAGAUAAAUAAAUUCUGGGAAUGUAAUGUACAGCCUUGUGAUUAUAGUGAACAAUACUAUACUGUAUAUAUGAAAGUUUCUAAGAGAGUACAUUUUAAAGGUUCUCAUCACAAGAAAAAAAUCUUUUAAUUAAAAAAAUGUUUAUUUACUUGGGGG